CCAAGACGUUACAGCAGCCCAGGAUCAUGAGUGACAGAGCCUGUGCCUACAGCUGUCAGCUCCAGCUGCAGACAAGCCAGAAGACACUUUAAUGUUGGUUACAAUGCAUUACAUACUUUUCUUUGCUGAACAUCUUAAUAGAAAAGAACCAAUCUAUACUUUAACUUUUACCUAUAGGCUAUCAUAACUACUAUUAUUACCAUAUUUAUGCUACUAUUCUCCAAUCAUAAAAAGUAUGUUACCGUUUAAGCUAGUUGUUUUUCAGUUUUCUUGUAGUGGAAAAUUCUGAGACUUUUUUUACUUCUUGCAACAUCAGCAGUCUUGUUUGCCUGUGGUAUCCUUGUGCUUGGUAAAACAUCUUCUUGUUUGAGGUGGGUUUAUCCUUUGCUCUAAGCCAUAAAACCCCCUCCUAACUAACGUACCCUUUGCCUUCUUAGUUAUCCAGUAAGAUAGUCUCAGCAGUUCUUUUCUUCUAUAUCAAAACUUGCUUUCAUUUCUAUUCUUUCUUCAGAUUCUACAUUCAAAAAUCUUCCUGCCAAGCAUACAUAUCUGUGAGACUUUCUUGUCAAACUUCCAUCCUUCCCAACACAAAACCAUGCCCAAAACUGCACCCAAACGACUGCCCAGGUCUGGCCUUAACACCGACCCAUCACAUCACGGGAUUCAUACAAUAUUUGCACAACCACUCCAUCUCCAACCACCGCCGGCUGCAGCCGCGUCCGGGUGCUCUUUCCUUCCAGUUCACUCCCAGUGCUCCCAGUAAGAGCGGUGCUGGGAGGGAAAGCGCUCCCAGUUUCUUCUCGCUGAUCUCAGGAUCGCUCCCGGUGCACUCACUAUCGUUCCCAGCGCUCCCAGCCUCACUCCCAGUGCCGCACAGGCCGGGGCCGCUUUGGAACCCGCCCAUGGCAGAGCGCGGCAGCUUUUGGGUGUCGGCACCGCCCGGGCCGGGCUGGGAGCGGAAGAGGAGGAGCAGGAAGAGGAGGGACAGAAGAGGAAGACGAGGAGGGGAAUGAGGAGCAGCACCAACACCACGUGGUUCCCCUGCUCAGACCGAGCUCCUCCGGCUCCGCCAGCAGCACUCCCGGAACCCCCCCCGGAACCCGCCGGUUCCCCCCGGAACCCGCCGGUGAGCGGGAAGGGGGAGCUCGCCCCAAAUCCAUUCGGGAGGUCUCCGGGAGGGUUUUUAGCGGGGCAGGGGAUGUUUGGAUUUUGCAGGACUGCACAACCGAGCCGGAAAUGCUCCUGGAGGGAACUUGGAGGAUCCCAUGUGGCUAUCACCCGGAUUUCCCAUUCCCAAACCUUGGCCCGAUGCAGGAGGAGGAGCCCGUGAGCAAGAGGAGGAAGGCCCGGGAGCCCCAGGCAGACAAGGAGCUGAGGAUGGAGACCAGGGAGGACAAAUCCCCACAUCAGAACCUCGUGGAAGAGGCUGUUUUGAGUAGCUCCACAGCACAGGAAUCUAACGGGGAGGAAAAAGCCAGGAGAUCAGACAUGAGGAGGGCUGCAAAUGCAAAUCACGGGGAUCCGAGGAGGAAAGACUCACCCUGGGCCAGGGAGGCGGCCGGAACUCGGAGCUGGGCGUCCACAAGCAGCUUCAUGAUGGGGAGAAGUCCCACAAGUGCUUGGAAUGUGGGAAGAGCUUCAGCCAGAAAUGUGACCUGAUCCGCCACUGGAGAAUCCACACUGGGGAACGGCCCUAUGAGUGUGAUAAAUUCAGGAAGAUGUUUCAGAUGAGUUCCUGUCUCAUCAGGCUUUAGCAGAGUCACACAGAGUAGAGGCCCUUCCACUGCCCCAACUGUGCAAAGGCCUUCAGGAACAACUCCAGCCUUGUCACCCACCUGCGCAUCCACACCGGGGAGAGGCCCUACGAGUGUCCCGAGUGUGGGAAGAGCUUCACCCAGAACUCCACUCUGACUGCCCACCUGAGGAGCCACAUUGGGGAACAGCCCUACGAGUGUGCGGAGUGUGGGAAGGGCUUCAGGACAAGCUCUGAACUGACCAUCCACCAGAGAAGCCACACUGGAGAACGGCCCUAUGUGUGUUCUGAGUGUGGGCAGAGCUUCCAGAAGAGCUGCCACCUGACCCGCCACAUGGCAAUCCAUACAGGGCAACAGCCCUUCAAGUGUGGGCAGUGUGGGAAGAGCUUGAGGUCGAGGUCUGAACUGAUUGUCCACCAGAGGAGCCACACUGGGGAGAGGCCCUAUGAGUGUGGGCAGUGUGGGAAGCGCUUUAUGUCAAAGUCCCACCUGAUCUACCACCAGAGGAGCCACAGUGGGGAGAGGCCCUACGAGUGUGAUAAAUGCAAGAAGACUUUUCAGACCAGCUCCAGUCUCAUU
rnacentral:lncRNA from 1 species